rfam:Fistulifera solaris DNA, contig: scaffold00204, strain: JPCC DA0580.
GCACCCUUGGUGUAGUGGUAACAUAAUUGCCUUCCAAGCAAUUGCCCUGGGUUCGAUUCCCGGAGGGUGCA